rnacentral:rRNA from 1 species
GGAUGCGAUCAUACCAACGUUAAUGCACCAGAUCCCAUCAGAACUUCGUAGUUAAGCACGCUUGGGAUAGAGUAGUAUUGGGAUGGGUGACCUCCCAGGAAGUCCCAGUGUUGCACCAU